rnacentral:rRNA from 1 species
UAGGGAAUCUUCCACAAUGGGCGCAAGCCUGAUGGAGCAACACCGCGUGAGUGAAGAAAGGGUUUCGGCUCGUAAAGCUCUGUUGUUGGAGAAGAACGUGCGUGAGAGUAACUGUUCACGCAGUGACGGUAUCCAACCAGAAAGUCACGGCUAACUACGUGCC